CCCUUGGAUGUUCUGGGCGGCCCGCGCACUACAAUGGCGCUUUCAGCGAGUUCCUAUGUUGAAUUUUCCUGGGUAUUCUUGGAAGCGGCGUCUUGACUUGGGAUAGAUCCUUGUAAUUGUUGGUUUUGAACGAGGAAUUCCUUGUAAUCGCGGUUGAUCAGCUCGCGUUGAAUACGUCCCUGCCCUUUGUACACACCGCCCGUCGCUCCUACCGAUGAAUCGUCCGGUGAAGUUCACAGAGUGGCGGUUCGUGGAGUUGCUCGCGAAGUGAAAUGGCCCUCACGAUUUAGAGGAAGGAGAAGUCGUAACA
rnacentral:rRNA from 1 species